CAGGAUUCCCCUAGUAACUGCGAGUGAAGCGGGAAAAGCUCAAAUUUGAAAUCUGGCGGUCCUUUGCGGCCGUCCGAGUUGUAAUCUAGAGAAGUGCUACCCGCGCUGGACCGUGUACAAGUCUCCUGGAAUGGAGCGUCACAGAGGGUGAGAAUCCCGUCUUUGACACGGACUGCCAGGGCUUAUGUGGUGCGCUCUCGAAGAGUCGAGUUGUUUGGGAAUGCAGCUCUAAAUGGGUGGUAAAUUCCAUCUAAAGCUAAAUACAGGCGAGAGACCGAUAGCGAACAAGUACCGUGAGGGAAAGAUGAAAAGAACUUUGGAAAGAGAGUUAAACAGUACGUGAAAUUGCUGAAAGGGAAACGUUUGAAGUCAGUCGCGUUGGCUGGGGAUCAACCUUGCUCUUGCAGGGCGCACUCUCUGGCUCGACGGGUCAGCAUCAGUUUCGGCCGCUGGAGAAAGGCUAGGGGAAUGUGGCAUCGCUUCGGUGAUGUGUUAUAGCCCUUGGUCGUAUGCAGCGGCUGGGACUGAGGAACUCAGCCUGCCCUUAACUGGGCCGGGUCUUUUUGACCACGCUUAACGGGCUUAGGAUGCUGGCAUAAUGGCUUUAAGCGACCCGUCUUGAAACACGGACCAAGGAGUCUAACAUGUUUGCGAGUGUUUGGGUGGAAAACCCGAGCGCGUAAUGAAAGUGAAAGUUGGGAACCCUGUCGUGGGGUGCACCGACGCCCGGACCAGACCUUCUUGCGACGGCUCCGCGGUAGAGCAGGCAUGUUGGGACUCGAAAGAUGGUGAACUAUGCCUGAAUAGGGUGAAGCCAGAGGAAACUCUGGGGGAGGCUCGUAGCGAUUCUGACGUGCAA
rnacentral:rRNA from 1 species